rnacentral:rRNA from 1 species
GAUGAACGCUGGCGGCGUGCCUAAUACAUGCAAGUAGAACGCUGAAGAGAGGAGCUUGCUCUUCUUGGAUGAGUUGCGAACGGGUGAGUAACGCGUAGGUAACCUGCCUUGUAGCGGGGGAUAACUAUUGGAAACGAUAGCUAAUACCGCAUAACAAUGGAUGACUCAAGUCAUUUAUUUGAAAGGGGCAAAUGCUCCACUACAAGAUGGACCUGCGUUGUAUUAGCUAGUAGGUGAGGUAACGGCUCACCUAGGCGACGAUACAUAGCCGACCUGAGAGGGUGAUCGGCCACACUGGGACUGAGACACGGCCCAGACUCCUACGGGAGGCAGCAGUAGGGAAUCUUCGGCAAUGGGGGCAACCCUGACCGAGCAACGCCGCGUGAGUGAAGAAGGUUUUCGGAUCGUAAAGCUCUGUUGUAAGUCAAGAACGAGUGUGAGAGUGGAAAGUUCACACUGUGACGGUAGCUUACCAGAAAGGGACGGCUAACUACGUGCCAGCAGCCGCGGUAAUACGUAGGUCCCGAGCGUUGUCCGGAUUUAUUGGGCGUAAAGCGAGCGCAGGCGGUUUGAUAAGUCUGAAGUUAAAGGCUGUGGCUCAACCAUAGUUCGCUUUGGAAACUGUCAAACUUGAGUGCAGAAGGGGAGAGUGGAAUUCCAUGUGUAGCGGUGAAAUGCGUAGAUAUAUGGAGGAACACCGGUGGCGAAAGCGGCUCUCUGGUCUGUAACUGACGCUGAGGCUCGAAAGCGUGGGGAGCGAACAGG